rnacentral:rRNA from 1 species
CCUACGGGGAGGCAGCAGUGGGGAAUAUUGCACAAUGGGCGCAAGCCUGAUGCAGCCAUGCCGCGUGUAUGAAGAAGGCCUUCGGGUUGUAAAGCACUUUCAGUAGGGAGGAAGGUAGUGUAGUUAACACCUGCAUUAUUUGACGUUACCUACAGAAGAAGCACCGGCUAACUCCGUGCCAGCAGCCGCGGUAAUACGGAGGGUGCGAGCGUUAAUCGGAAUUACUGGGCGUAAAGCGCAUGCAGGCGGCCUGUUAAGUCAGAUGUGAAAGCCCGGGGCUUAACCUCGGAAUUGCAUUUGAAACUGGCAGGCUAGAGUCUUGUAGAGGGGGGUAGAAUUUCAGGUGUAGCGGUGAAAUGCGUAGAGAUGUGGAGGAAUACCGGUGGCGAAGGCGGCCCCCUGGACAAAGACUGACGCUCAGGUGCGAAAGCGUGGGGAGCAAACAGGAUUAGAUACCCCAGUAGUC